AACCCUGUAGCACAAGGGAUACGCGCGUUCGACUUCUAAUCGAAAGGUCGUGGGUUUGAAUUCCACCUAGGAUG